rnacentral:sRNA from 1 species
UAUUCAUCCAUCCAUCCGUCUAUCCGUCCAUCCAUCCCCAUCACUCCAUCCAUCCAUCCGUCCAUCCAUUAUCUAUCUAUCUAUCUAUCUAUAUCUAUCUAUCUAUCUAUCUAUCUAUCUAUCUAUCUGAUCUAUCUACCUCAUAAUAUCACAGUGCUCUGAUGGAGGAGGAACAGGGCACUGUGGGCUCUCUGAGAAAGGCCAGAGAGGACUUCCUGGAGGGGUGACUUUUGGGUUUGCAUACCACGGCUAAGUGUGUGGGCUCUCAGGCCGCCUGGAUUUGAGUCCUGGCUGUGUGGUCUGGGGAAGGUGUUUAACCUCUCCUUGUCUCAAUUUCCGAAUCUGUGCAAUGAAGGUAGCCACAGUAAAUAACCUCUCAGGGUGGCUGUGAAGAGUCUGUGUGAUAAUGUGUGUGAAGCUCUCAACACAGUGUCCAGAAUGUAGAAAGCACAUAGGGAUACUAGCUAUGGGGAUGCCAACCUUGGGGAUGCUAGUUAUAGGGAUGCCAGCCUUGGGGAUACUAGUCUUGGGAAUACUAGCCAUGGAGAUGCCAGCCUUGGGGAUACUAGCUGUGGGGAUCCAGCCAUGGGGAUGCCAGCCUUGGAGAUGCUAGCCAUGGGGAUGCUAGUCUCAGGGAUACUAGCCAUGCGGAUGCCAGCCUUGGGGAUGCUAACUGUGGGGAUGCCAGCCACGGGGAUGCUAGCCAUGACUCACAUCAUCUUCCUCCUGGCUGGAAGAGGGGCUCUCUCUGCAGGUGGAGAGUGGGCUGGGGAGGGAGACUUCCAACUCGCAGCAGGAAACCCAGCUGGUGGGGAGAAAGGAGGGAAGGAUGUGUGCACAGAAGGGCUGGUUGAGCGCUGGGCAGCUUGUUCACUGCUGACGCUGGCACAUCCUUGCCCACUGUGGGCCCUGGUACCUGUGGGGGACAAACUGAGGGGACCUCCAGGGUAUGGGGCCACUGGGAGCUCCACCCACUGCUCCAGGCACUGAGGGCUGCAGUGCUCCCCUCCUGCCUAUCCUGUUGAACUAGCUAAAGGUAGGUGCCUGGGGCUGGGUGGAUACCUGGAUUCUCAGCAGUCAUAUGUGCAAAAAAUGACCCAAAUGCCUGCAGGGCCCAAGUCCUAUAGGCAUUUGGCAGAUCACUGGGGCUGGCAGCUGGAAGCUGGGAACUUUCAGUCAGGGGAAGGAGGGAGGCCUCUGCACCUCUGUUCUGCCUCUCCCCCUCACAGGACCCCGCCAGAGACUUGGGGCUGCUGCAGAGCCCAGCCCUCAGGCAGGGCCCUCAUACCCCGGGGCUCUGGAGCUGGGGAGGGUGGGAAGAGGUCCCCAGCAGGGUGCCAGGUGUGUGGGGCACACCACACUCCGGAUUCCCCAGGAGAAUGGGAGCCGAUGUUCUCAGCCAGAUGUGGCUCUGAGGGCUCAGUGCGGCGAGGGCCAAAGUCCCCUGCCCUGGAGCUUCCAGCCAGUCAGGACAGAGAGAGCACGGGCAAGCCCCUUCCCUUCCCUGGGCCUUCCUUUUCCCCCUCUGGAUUGGGGGAACGUUAGAGACUCUGAUUUAUCUGUGUUCCUGGGACACCAACAGGAAUUGCAGGCAGAUCUCAAUCAGAGUUGGAAGGAAGGAAGAUUAGGUCCAUAAUUCCGCAACCUGGCUAAUUGCCCAAAUCCCUGGUGUGAUUCUUGUUAAACUGCGAGAUGUCCAGGCCUCCCCCCGGCAGUGGCUGAUUCAGGAGGGAGGUGCCUCGGAAUCUGCAUCUUUGACACCUGCUCACUGCUGAAAUGGUGACGCAGCAUGCUCCCUUGUCACUCUGAUAGUCCAGGACUUCACUGUGCUAGUUCAUCAUCCGUCUCAGGAACCCCUCUACCUGUCCCCAGGACACCUGACCUCCAGAGCUGGGUCACCCCUAUCUCCAGGAAGACGGAUGGCCCGGCCAUUCAUUCGCGGGGCCAGCGGGAGGGAGCUUAGUUCUCCCCCAGGCAGCUCCUUGCCAGGGCCAUUCAUCACCCCGUAAUCACGGCUGGGAGGGAGCUCUUUCUCAGCUAAUUAAAAUCUCUCCGGCUGCAAUCGAGGCCUGCUUCCUCUAAUUUGUGUUCUUUGGAGAUGAGGAAUGGCUGACAGGGCCAGCCUUGUACACCACGAGGACUCUGCCACCUGCUGAGAGUACUCGAGCCCUGUCACCUGCCCCAGAUUCUGUCGAGUCCCAGUGGGAUCUGCACUGGGCUCCAUCAGCCUGAGCUUGGGCUAAGGGGGAAGGGCAGGCUCUGGGCAGGGGUGGAGCGUUCUCAGUCUCCCUCUAGGGUCCUUCCUGACCAGCCAGGUCCAACAGUGCAUCUGGGUCGGAAGCCCCAGGGAACAGAAGCAGAGGUGGGGGCAGAGGCAGGGGUAGGUGACUCGGAGGCACUGGUCUCAGGUGAGUCUGAGUUGCCCAGAGAGUUGGGGAUUUCCUAGUGGGAAGGUAGGGAGUUGAGGGUGCCAAUGCAAAGUCUGGACAAUCUGCUGGCUGGACACUGUUGGGCAGGCUCUCAGCCCCCUCUGGGGUCACAGAACUUUCUGCAAAGCUGAUGAAAGCUCUUAUCUUCUCCCAGUGAUGCAAUGAACACAACAUCAUGUCUGCAGCCAUGUGCCCAGCUCCAAGCUGUGGCCAACAUGUGAAUCCCAAGCCUGGCAUGCCCUCUCUCCUCCUUUCCCAGCUUCUCCAAAGCCUUUCUUGAGGCCUAGUUCCAGCCCCACCUCCUCCAGGAAGUCUGCCAUGAUGAUAUGUUCCACACUAGCUAGCUCCUCAGCUGACUUCUUCCUCUAUGAUUGGGGUGUCCUUUGGGGCCAUGCAGAAGAGGGCAAUAGAGACUGCAGUCACAGGGACCCCAGGGCCCACACCCACGGCCAGCACGGGAAGGACACACAGAGAGUCAGUGUAGGCUUGAAUCCUCUUCCCCUCUCUUCCCCACACUGCCUGUGCUCUGUGUCACCAGGCUCCUGCCUGGGUCUUCCUGAAGGGUCCCUGGAGCCCAAUUCCUGGCCAGUAUGUGCUCUCUUCUGCCUGAUCCUCAGCCCCAAACCUGCCAACCUGCCCGAUCCUGGCUGGGCUCACCUUAGGCCCCCUGUCUGCAGCCUGAACCCCUACAGCCACGAUGAGGGCUGCCUCAGCAGCAGCCAGGACCACGUCCCUCUGGCCGCCCUUCCCCUGUUGGCCAUCUCCUCCCCGCAGUACCAGGAUGCUGUCGCCACCGUCAUCGAGCGAGCCAACCAGGUCUACAGAGAGUUCCUGAAGUCCUCUGAUGGGAUUGGCUUCAGUGGGCAGGUGUGUCUCAUCGGGGACUGUGUGGGGGGCCUCCUGGCCUUCGAUGCCAUCUGCUACAGUGCGGGGCCCUCGGGGGACAGCCCUGCCAGCAGCAGCCGGAAGGGGAGCAUCAGCAGCACCCAGGACACCCCAGUUGUGGUGGAGGAAGAUUGCAGCCUGGCCAGCAGCAAGCGUCUCAGCAAAAGCAACAUUGACAUCUCCAGUGGGUUGGAGGAUGAGGAGCCCAAGAGGCCGUUGCCGAGGAAACAGAGCGACUCCUCCACCUAUGACUGCGAGGCCAUCACUCAGCACCAUGCCUUCCUCUCAAGCAUCCACUCCAGCGUGCUAAAGGAUGAGUCUGAGACCCCGGCGGCCGGGGGGCCGCAGCUCCCUGAGGUCAGCCUGGGCCGCUUUGACUUCGACGUGUCCGACUUCUUCCUCUUCGGCUCGCCACUGGGCCUGGUCCUGGCCAUGCGGAGGACGGUGCUGCCUGGGCUGGACGGCUUCCAGGUGCGUCCUGCCUGCAGCCAGGUCUACAGCUUCUUCCAUUGCGCAGACCCCUCUGCCUCACGGCUUGAGCCACUGCUGGAGCCCAAGUUCCACCUGGUGCCGCCUGUCAGCGUGCCUCGCUACCAGAGGUUCCCACUGGGCGAUGGGCAGUCCCUCCUCCUCGCUGAUGCCCUACACACCCACAGCCCCCUCUUCCUGGAGGGCAGCUCCCGGGACAGCCCGCCACUUCUGGACGCCCCUGCCUCGCCCCCUCAGGCCUCGAGGUUCCAGCGCCCAGGACGGAGGAUGAGCGAAGGGAGCUCCCACAGCGAGAGCUCGGAGUCCUCGGACAGCAUGGCACCUGCGGGUGCCUCCCGCAUCACAGCCAAGUGGUGGGGAAGCAAGAGGAUCGACUAUGCCCUGUACUGCCCUGAUGUCCUCACGGCCUUCCCCACCGUGGCCCUGCCCCACCUCUUCCACGCCAGCUACUGGGAGUCCACGGAUGUGGUGGCCUUCAUCCUGAGACAGGUGAUGCGCUAUGAGAGCGUGAACAUCAAGGAGAGCGCCCGCCUGGACCCCGCGGCACUGAGUCCCGCCAACCCCCGGGAGAAGUGGCUUCGUAAGCGGACUCAGGUCAAGCUGAGGAAUGUCACGGCUAAUCACCGGGCUAACGAUGUGAUUGCUGCUGAAGAUGGCCCCCAGGUCCUGGUGGGGCGGUUCAUGUACGGGCCCCUCGACAUGGUGGCUCUGACUGGAGAGAAGGUGGACAUCCUAGUAAUGGCAGAGCCGUCCUCAGGCCGCUGGGUACACCUGGACACAGAGAUCACCAACAGCAGUGGUCGCAUCACAUACAAUGUGCCGCGGCCCCGGCGCCUGGGGGUCGGCGUCUAUCCUGUGAAGAUGGUCGUCAGGGGCGACCAGACCUGCGCCAUGAGCUACCUCACGGUGUUGCCCCGGGGCAUGGAGUGCGUCGUGUUCAGCAUUGACGGGUCCUUUGCGGCCAGCGUGUCUAUCAUGGGAAGCGACCCCAAGGUCCGGCCGGGUGCAGUGGACGUUGUCCGGCACUGGCAGGACCUGGGCUACAUGAUCCUUUACAUCACGGGACGGCCGGACAUGCAGAAGCAGCGGGUGGUGUCGUGGCUGUCGCAGCACAACUUCCCACAGGGCAUGAUCUUCUUCUCCGACGGGCUGGUGCAUGACCCGCUGCGGCAGAAGGCCAUCUUCCUGCGCAACCUCAUGCAGGAGUGCUUCAUCAAAAUCAGUGCGGCCUAUGGCUCCACGAAGGACAUCUCUGUCUACAGCGUGCUGGGCCUGCCUGCCUCCCAGAUCUUCAUUGUGGGCCGGCCCACCAAGAAGUACCAAACCCAGUGCCAGUUCCUGAACGAGGGCUACGCCGCACACCUGGCCGCGCUGGAGGCCAGCCACCGCUCACGCCCAAAGAAGAACAACUCGCGCAUGAUCCUGCGCAAGGGCAGCUUCGGGCUGCACGCGCAGCCAGAGUUCCUGCGGAAGCGCAACCACCUGCGCAGAACCAUGUCCGUGCAGCAGCCUGACCCGCCCGCCGCCAACCCCAAGCCCGAGCGGGCCCAGAGCCAGCCCGAGUCGGACAAGGACCACG